rnacentral:rRNA from 2 species
AGACCCGAAACCCGGUGAUCUAGCCAUGGGCAGGUUGAAGGUUGGGUAACACUAACUGGAGGACCGAACCGACUAAUGUUGAAAAAUUAGCGGAUGACCUGUGGCUGGGGGUGAAAGGCCAAUCAAACCGGGAGAUAGCUGGUUCUCCCCGAAAGCUAUUUAGGUAGCGCCUCGUGAAUUCAUCUCCGGGGGUAGAGCACUGUUUCGGCUAGGGGGCCAUCCCGGCUUACCAACCCGAUGCAAACUGCGAAUACCGGAGAAUGUUAUCACGGGAGACACACGGCGGGUGCUAACGUCCGUCGUGAAGAGGGAAACAACCCAGACCGCCAGCUAAGGUCCCAAAGUCAUGGUUAAGUGGGAAACGAUGUGGGAAGGCCCAGACAGCCAGGAUGUUGGCUUAGAAGCAGCCAUCAUUUAAAGAAAGCGUAAUAGCUCACUGGUCGAGUCGGCCUGCGCGGAAGAUGUAACGGGGCUAAACCAUGCACCGAAGCUGCGGCAGCGAACGUAUCACCCAAGACAACUUUACGGAGUUGACGAUUGACGGAGCGAAGCGACGUCAAAGCGUUCAUUAAAGUCGAGUUGGCUUAGGGAUACGUUCGUUGGGUAGGG